AGACACAGAGCCUUGGAGUUUAGGACACAGUAUUAUUAUAAGGCCAGAAAUAAAAUAUAUAUAUUGAACUUGUAGGUUUACUGAAUCAUGAUGGCAGAGAUCUCAACUUGCUAGGAAUUUUCAGCGUCGGUGAAGUCAAAAACGCUACUACACACUGAGAGCAGGGAGAAAACAAGAGACAGCAAGAUCCAAGUAACAGCCGACUGCUGAUAGAUAUCUCAUGGAAUGGACUCCAGAACCUGCUUUAUAGGUUUGUCUUCUUCUGAGAUAGAUUAAUCUUGUCUCCCAGACUCAGAGCCAUUCCCUGGCUCUUGGCUCUAAUUCGUAUGUGGCCGGUCACAGGGGCCUCUGGACCCAGGUGAAUUGGCUUUUCAAUGCUGACAUUGGCAAGUGCGUCCUCUCCAAAUAUGCAACGAGCAUAGAGGUUAGCAGCCAUGAACCCACAGUACCCAGACAAAGCCUUUUCUGGGGUGAGACAUUUCAUAUUUGUAAAUUUGAGAAUGUGCUGCAAAUAUUAAUUCAGGUCGAUCAUGUUUUUGUUUAAUAAAGUAGUUUUUGUGUUUAGAUCAAGCCCCUGCAGUCUUAUUGCUUAAUUCUCUGCCAUUUAGAAGGUCAAUCUCUUUGUUUAUGCAGCUUUAGCCACACCUACCUGCAUGUAACAUGCACAGCCUUCUUAAACACUUCCUGUAAAGAGAGAUCUAAUGUUUACACUUCCGUUAUUGCACAUUCUGUUUCUGUUUAGAAAUGCUUAUCUUCUGCACUAUUAAUAUCUUGCUAGACCCUGCAGGAGCCUACUGUGUGUGAUUAAAGUUCAAUUUACAGAGCAGGAGAUAAAAACAUCUGAAGUAAGUUAACAUCUCAUUGAAAUGAAACCAUUUUUUAAUGUUGGCUGAAUCUUUCACAGCAAGGGGAGGUGUUACUAAUGCUGCAUAAAGAGAAACACAAGUGACUUAACUUCUAAAUAGCAGAGAAUUUAGCAGUGAGACUGCACAGGCAUGGUUUUUACACAAAAACUGUGUCAUUAAGCUAAAGUUACUUUGGUGCCUAAAGUAUCCCUUUAAUUGUGGGUCCUCUUAAUGUAUUGCAUAUUCUUUACCAUCAGGAAUUACCUAAUCUCUAUAGGAUAGGAUCCUUCCUAUCACCCUAGCUUUGAUCAUCUAUGUCUUGUUUUGUGAAAUAUAUAUAGUGGGGUAAUACAUUCUGUAGAAUAUAGGAGGCAUCCUUACUGCCCAGUAGAGAAGCUACACGUAUGUGAUUAUCCACUAAACUGGGAAUAAUUGGCAACUGGUCAAAUAAUGUCAAAUUGUAGGGAAAAAGAGCCAAGCUUGAAAAAUUCCCAAUUGUCUCCAGUUUCGUGAAUAAUCUUGAUAGAGUGAGUCUGAGCUUAUUUUUAGAGUCUAUACACAGAUACAGAGAUUUAGGAAAUGGCCCACUCAGCAAUAUAUCUCUAGAUAUGGCUGCACACCUAUUGCAGUGACUUUGACUCCUUUACAAAAAAUGCAAGAGUGGAUCUGAUAAGGUAUGAGUUUGCAUGGCAUGCACCUCAUGCCAUACAAACACCGGGUCAUAAAGGGCAAGUCAUAAACUUCAUAAACUUCAUUUAUAGCUUGUGUUUGAGCAAGGGGAUGGUUUUCUUGUAAAAAUUGUAGCAGUUGCAAAUAACAAGGUAAAGGGAGAUGGGGUAGGAUAAUGAUACAAUUACACUUAUUUAGAUAGCGCCAACAUAUUCUACAGGGCUGUACAAUAGGAAAGAAGUCAAACAUUCAACUGCAACAAAAUAUGUAUGGUAUACAAGAACAGUAAAUGUAGGGUACCCUACUCAAUCGAGCUCACAAUCGAGAGUGCCAUAAACUAUGGAAGCAGCAUACUUUUUUUUUAUGUCUGUCGUAUCCCUUUAAAAAAAGCUUAUUUAAUCUUUUCUUCUAGAUGUUAACGACAGAACUUAAAUUAGUCUGGAGAUGAACAUGUAAGAGAUAUUUGGAUUACCUUUCAAAAAAGUUGUAAUCUAUCUUUCAUUGUUGUUAAUAUGAACUCUCUGUCGACUUGAACCCGCUGAUGUUUCAUUAACCUUUCUCUGUAGGUAACAAAGCACGCUCUUUGUGUGGAAAUUCUGUGUGAAACUGGAUCUUUCCCUGCAUCAUAUGUCGCCAGUGGCACUAAAGUAUUAG